UGGGGAAUUUUGGACAAUGGGGGAAACCCUGAUCCAGCCAUCCCGCGUGUGCGAUGAAGGCCUUCGGGUUGUAAAGCACUUUUGGCAGGAAAGAAACGUCGCGGGUUAAUACCCCGCGAAACUGACGGUACCUGCAGAAUAAGCACCGGCUAACUACGUGCCGGCAGCCGCGGUAAUACGUAGGGUGCAAGCGUUAAUCGGAAUUACUGGGCGUAAAGCGUGCGCAGGCGGUUCGGAAAGAAAGAUGUGAAAUCCCAGAGCUUAACUUUGGAACUGCAUUUUUAACUACCGGGCUAGAGUGUGUCAGAGGGAGGUGGAAUUCCGCGUGUAGCAGUGAAAUGCGUAGAUAUGCGGAGGAACACCGAUGGCGAAGGCAGCCUCCUGGGAUAACACUGACGCUCAUGCACGAAAGCGUGGGGAGCAAACAGGAUUAGAUACCCUGGUAGUCCACGCCCUAAACGAUGUCAACUAGCUGUUGGGGCCUUCGGGCCUUGGUAGCGCAGCUAACGCGUGAAGUUGACCGCCUGGGGAGUACGGUCGCAAG
rnacentral:rRNA from 1 species